rnacentral:rRNA from 1 species
GAUGAACGCUGGCGGCGUGCCUAAUACAUGCAAGUCGAGCGAACAGACGAGGAGCUUGCUCCUCUGACGAGAGCGGAGGACGGGAGAGUAACACGAGGAUAACCUACCUAUAAGACUGGGAUAACUUCGGGAAACCGGAGCAAACACCGGAUAAUAUACUGAACCGCAGGGUUGAAUAGAGAAAGACGGUUUUGCUGUAACUACUAGAUGGAUCCGCGCCGCAUUAGCUAGUUGGUAAGUUAACGGCUUACCAAGGCAACGAGGCGUAGCCGACCUGUGAGACUGAUCGGCCACACUGGAGCUGAGACACGGUCCAGACUCCUACGAGACGCAGCAGUAGGCAACCUUCCGCAGUGGGCGAAAGCCUUACGGAGCAACCCCGCGUGAGAGAUGACGGUCUUCGGAUCGUAAAACUCUGUUAUUAGGGAAGAACAAAUGUGUAAGUAACUAUGCACGUCUUGACGGUACCUAAUCAGAAAGCCACGGCUAACUACGUG